AGCGAACGCUGGCGGCAGGCUUAACACAUGCAAGUCGAGCGGAGUGAUGGUGCUUGCACUAUCACUUAGCGGCGGACGGGUGAGUAAUGCUUAGGAAUCUGCCAUUUAGUGGGGGACAACAUUCCGAAAGGAAUGCUAAUACCGCAUACGUCCUACGGGAGAAAGCAGGGGAUCUUCGGACCUUGCGCUAAACGAUGAGCCUAAGUCGGAUUAGCUAGUUGGUGUGGUAAAGGCCUACCAAGGCGACGAUCUGUAGCGGGUCUGAGAGGAUGAUCCGCCACACUGGGACUGAGACACGGCCCAGACUCCUACGGGAGGCAGCAGUGGGGAAUAUUGGACAAUGGGCGGAAGCCUGAUCCAGCCAUGCCGCGUGUGUGAAGAAGGCCUUUUGGUUGUAAAGCACUUUAAGCGAGGAGGAGGCUCUCCUAGUUAAUACCUAGGAAGAGUGGACGUUACUCGCAGAAUAAGCACCGGCUAACUCUGUGCCAGCCGCCGCAGUAAUAC
rnacentral:rRNA from 1 species